GUCAGCGCAGGCAGCCCUGGAAAAGAAGAGUCCGAAAGACGUGCCCUUCUCCAAGCUUUAAAGGAGAAGAUCCAGGGCUGUUGAAGCUGCGGUGGAACUGAGACAUCAUCAUCCACAUAUCUUCAGUUCUUCUUGCUAAGAGAACGAGAAACUCGGACACAACAGUACAUCCUGACCAUUGGUACUGUGUACACAUCAACAUACACACACGUCUCCAUGCUGGACAUCUCAGGAGCUUUCACACAGUGCUAGGAAUAUCC
ensembl:lncRNA